AACAAGGUUUCCGUAGGUGAACCUGCGGAAGGAUCAUUAAUAAAGUAAAAAUUCAAGAACUGGGGAGCCUGGAUGAAACCGGUGCUCGCCUGUAUCUUAAACCCCGUGCGAGAGCAUAACUGUUGCUUCGGCGCCCGUCUGGCCCCUGCGCCUGGGCGUCAAAGGACCUCAAAACACAUGUUUUAACAAGUGCCGUCAGAGUUAUUAAAGAUAAAAUUAAAACUUUCAACAACGGAUCUCUUGGUUCUCGCAUCGAUGAAGAACGCAGCGAAAUGCGAUAAGUAAUGUGAAUUGCAGAAUUCAGUGAAUCAUCGAAUCUUUGAACGCACAUUGCGCCCUUUGGUAUUCCGAGGGGCAUGCCUUUUCGAGCGUCAUUACAACAAUCCAGCUUCCGGUUGCGUAGAGAUAUGCAAUGUGGUGGCUGGCGCUUGGGCGAUCGUCUGCGAACUGCAGACGGGCCUCAAAGACCAUGGCAGCCUUGUCUGUUGGCACUAGCGUAGUAUAUAUACAAAGCGCUAUGGUGUCCUUCGCUGGCUUGUCCACACAACUUCAUCAGUACCAGUUUGACCUCGGAUAAGGUAGGGAUACCCGCUGAACUUAAGCAUAUCAAUAA
rnacentral:sRNA from 1 species